GAUGAACGCUGGCGGCGUGCUUAACACAUGCAAGUCGAACGGAAAGACGAGGAGCUUGCUGGUCGCACGUGAGGGGCGGGCGGGUGAGACACACGAGGAUGACCGACCGAGAGGGCUGAGAUAACGACGGGAAAGCGGAGACAACACCGGAUAAGAUAUUGAAACGCAGGGACCAUUGGUGAAAGACGGUUUGGCGGGCACGAAUAGAGGGUUCCGAGCCGCAUGAGUUAGUUGGUAGGGUAACGGCCUACCAUGGCGACGAUGCGUAGCCGACCUGAGAGGGUGAUCGGCCACACUGGAACUGAGACACGGCCCAGACUCCUACGGGAGGCAGCAGUGGGGAAUUUUCGGCAAAGGGCGAAAGCCUGACGCAGCAACGCCGCGUGAGUGACGAAGGCCUUCGGAUCGUAAACCUCUGUUAUUCGGAAAGAACAGGUUUUGACUAAACUAUGGCCGUCUUGACGGUACCGUAUCAAAAAGCCCCGGCUAACUACGUG
rnacentral:rRNA from 1 species